rfam:Danaus plexippus plexippus isolate F-2 unplaced genomic scaffold DPSCF305097, whole genome shotgun sequence.
GACACGAUGGCUUAAUUGGCAAAACAACUGGAAUGCGACAUUUCAUAUGUUGUAGGUUCGAUUCCUACUCGUGUAG